UGAGGAAUAUUGGGCAAUGCCCGAAAGGGUGACCCAGCAACGCCGCGUGGAGGAUGAAGGUCGUAAGAUUGUAAACUCCUGUUAGAGGGGAAGAAUAACUAAGUUUGGAGCUUAGUAUGACUGUACCCUCAGAGAAAGCCCCGGCUAACUACGUGCCAGCAGCCGCGGUAAUACGUAGGGGGCAAGCGUUGUCCGGAUUUACUGGGUGUAAAGGGCGCGCAGGCGGAAUGGAAAGUCAGUGGUGAAAUCCUACAGCUUAACUGUAGAACUGCCUUUGAUACUUUCAUUCUUGAGUUCGGGAGAGAGAGACGGAAUUCCAGGUGUAGUGGUGAAAUACGUAGAUAUCUGGAAGAACACCAGUUGCGAAGGCGGUCUCUUGGUCCGAUACUGACGCUGAGGCGCGAAAGCGUGGAGAGCAAACA
rnacentral:rRNA from 1 species